GCCCUCGUAGCUCAGUUGGAGUAGAGCGUUCGCCUCCGAAGCGAGAGGUCGCUGGUUCGAGUCCAGCCGAGGGCA
rnacentral:tRNA from 1 species